UACAGAGGUCUCAAGCGUUGUUCGGAUUCAUUGGGCGUAAAGGGUGCGUAGGCGGCGCUGUAAGUCGGGUGUGAAAUUUCGGAGCUUAACUCCGAAACUGCAUUCGAUACUGCGGUGCUUGAGGACUGGAGAGGAGACUGGAAUUCAUGGUGUAGCAGUGAAAUGCGUAGAGAUCAUGAGGAACACCAGUGGCGAAGGCGGCCAGCUGGUCCGGUACUGACGCUGAGGUGCGAAAGCGUGGGGAGCAAACAGG
rnacentral:rRNA from 1 species